GCCCCAGCCGGAGGGGGCGCGCUGUGUGGAGCGGGGCAUCUCCGUCCCGCCCCAGGACGGCCCAACAGGCAGCAGGCGCCCCCAUAAAGACGGGUGGCCGGUGGAUGAACCAAGGAGCAAAACGGUCAGCGUUUAAACGCAUUUCUGAGUUCUGAGCAGCUGCUGGUUAACAGAAAUGCAAACCGGCUCACGGAAAGUGCAGCUCCCAUCAAGUGGGACCCCAGUCCCUUCACGGGGUUAAGAAAGGGUCUCCAAUGCUUCGUGCCCUCCCGAGCCGCAGGCCCCGGGGUCGCCGUGCCCUUGGUGUCCAGCAGAGGGCAGCCGAUUCCACCAGCUUGGGACUCCUGCCCGGCUCAGGCUGAUUUCUUUUUUCCUCUUUGAACUUAUUUUUGAAGUUUAAUGCGAAAUAUUUAUUAAAAAAUCCCACGGUCCACACAAGGGGGAAAAACAACUUGAUGUGAGGCACAGCGCUUCCUCAGAAGUGUCAAGGCAACCUUUCCCUUUCCAGGACUCGGAGAGACCUGUGGUGACCAGCUCAGGAAUGGAGCUUCGUCUCUAAAGAUUUCUGUAAGUCCGACAAAUCUGCUACAGCCCAUCACUGCUGACCCGCCUGCUGGCAUCCCAGCCACAGGACUCUGUGUCCAGAGCAGAGCUCCCCUGGAGAUGUCUGCAGUGAGUCCUGGAGCCGCCUUGACGGGGGAGGUGACCAAGCGCUGGCCAAGGGGUGGUGGUGAUGCAGUUCUGGAUCUGCCUGGUGUCCCUUUAUCCCUCCCC
rnacentral:lncRNA from 1 species